rnacentral:rRNA from 1 species
CGUACACUCCUACGGAAGGCAGCAGUGGGGAAUAUUGGACAAUGGGCGCAAGCCUGAUCCAGCCAUGCCGCGUGAGUGAUGAAGGCCCUAGGGUUGUAAAGCUCUUUCACCGGUGAAGAUAAUGACGGUAACCGGAGAAGAAGCCCCGGCUAACUUCGUGCCAGCAGCCGCGGUAAUACGAAGGGGGCUAGCGUUGUUCGGAUUUACUGGGCGUAAAGCGCACGUAGGCGGACUAUUAAGUCAGGGGUGAAAUCCCGGGGCUCAACCCCGGAACUGCCUUUGAUACUGGUAGUCUUGAGUUCGAGAGAGGUGAGUGGAAUUCCGAGUGUAGAGGUGAAAUUCGUAGAUAUUCGGAGGAACACCAGUGGCGAAGGCGGCUCACUGGCUCGAUACUGACGCUGAGGUGCGAAAGCGUGGGGAGCAAACAGGAUUAGAAACCCUUGUAGUCCCAUG